rnacentral:rRNA from 1 species
CGCAUCUGUGCAUGCAGCAUAUCAAUAAGCGGAGGAAAAGAAACUAACAAGGAUUCCCCUAGUAACGGCGAGUGAAGCGGGAAGAGCUCAAAUUUGAAAUCUUAAAGGGUUUCCCUUUACGAAUUGUAGUUUAAAGAAGUGUUUUCUGUUGAGGUUUUGGUAAAAGUUCUUUGGAAUAGGACAUCAUAGAGGGUGAGAAUCCCGUAUUUGACCUUUACUUUCAACUUUGUGAUACACUUUCAAAGAGUCGGAUUGUUUGGGAAUGCAGUCCAAAAUGGGUGGUAAAUUUCAUCUAAAGCUAAAUAUUGGCGAGAGACCGAUAGCGAACAAGUACCGUGAGGGAAAGAUGAAAAGAACUUUGAAAAGAGAGUUAAACAGUACGUGAAAUUGUCAAAAGGGAAGCGUUUGACACCAGUGUUGUUUUUCUGAAAAUCAAUUAAAGAACUGUUUAUGCUAAGCUGUUUAGACUUUAUCAGCUAAUCUGUUUAGUUUUGAGCUUUUCUUUAAUGCACUUUUCAGUUAACAAGUCAACAUCAAUUUCUUUUGCUGUAAAAAGCUUGAGGAAGGUGGCUUGAGAUUCGUCUUAAGUGUUUAUAGCCUCUUGCCUAUGCAGUCGGAGAGAUUGAGGUCUGCAGCGUAGAUCCUUCGGGGCUAAAUGCAUUUGUGCUAAGUUAUAGCAUUUUAUAGACAACUUGUUGACUAUGAUUUGUCUUGUAGCUUACUCGCUUAUGUUAUUUUACCUACGCUUAGGAUGUUGACACACGCGCGUGCUCGGCUCUAUACAUGACUCUGUGCAUAUCAAUAAGCGGAGGAAAAGAGGGCUAUUACCUACGCUUAGGAUGUUGAACGCGCACAGAGUCUC